GUACGUGAAAUUGUUGAAAGGGAAGCGCUCAUGGCCAGACCUGUGCCUGGCGGAUCAUCCAGCUUCGGCUGGUGCACUUCGCCGGCUCAGNCCAGCACCGNUCGGGUCCGGGAGGGUGAGGCCGGGCGGAAUGUGGCUCGCUCGCGAGUGUUAUAGCCCCCGUGCUGUCCCCUGGACGCGACCGAGGAACGCGCUCUGCAAGGGUGCUGGCGUAAUGGCCAUCAGCGGCCCGUCUUGAAACACGGACCAAGGAGUCGUCUUCGCGAGCGAGUGUUUGGGUGUUAAACCCCUACGCGUAAUGAAGGUGAACGUAGGUGGGAGCUUCGGCGCACCACCGACCGAUCCUGAUGUCUUCGGAUGGAUUUGAGUAAGAGCUCGUGGGGACGGACCCGAAAGAAGGUGAACUAUGCGUGUGUAGGGUGAAGCCAGAGGAAACUCUGGUGGAGGCUCGCAGCGGUUCUGACGUGCAAAUCGAUCGUCAAACAUGCGCAUGGGGGCGAAAGACUAAUCGAACCUUCUAGUAGCUGGUUUCUACCGAAGUUUCCCUCAGGAUAGCAGUGUCGAUCUCAGUUUUAUGAGGUAAAGCGAAUGAUUAGGGACUCGGGGGCGCUGAUUAGCCUUCAUCCAUUCUCAAACUUUAAAUAUGUAAGAAGCUCUUGUUACUUAAGUGAACGUGAGCAUUCGAAUGCAACGACACUAGUGGGCCAUUUUUGGUAAGCAGAACUGGCGAUGCGGGAUGAACCGAACGCGGGUUUAAGGUGCCAGAGUGUACGCUCAUCAGACACCACAAAAGGUGUUGGUACAUCUUGACAGCAGGACGGUGGCCAUGGAAGUCGGAAUCCGCUAAGGACUGUGUAACAACUCACCUGCCGAAUGUACCAGCCCUGAAAAUGGAUGGCGCUCAAGCGUACCACCCAUAACCCGCCCUCAGGGUAGAAACGAUGCCCUGAGGAGUAGGUAGACGUGGCCGUGGUGAC
rnacentral:rRNA from 1 species